UGAGGAAUAUUGGGCAAUGCCCGAAAGGGUGACCCAGCAACGCCGCGUGGAGGAUGAAGGUCGUAAGAUUGUAAACUCCUGUUAGAGGGGAAGAAUAACUAAGUUUGGAGCUUAGUAUGACCGUACCCUCAGAGAAAGCCCCGGCUAACUACGUGCCAGCAGCCGCGGUAAUACGUAGGGUGCGAGCGUUAAUCGGAAUUACUGGGCGUAAAGCGUGCGCAGGCGGUUUUGUAAGACAGAUGUGAAAUCCCCGGGCUUAACCUGGGAACUGCGUUUGUGACGGCAAGGCUGGAGUACGGCAGAGGGGGGUGGAAUUCCACGUGUAGCAGUGAAAUGCGUAGAGAUGUGGAGGAACACCGAUGGCGAAGGCAGCCCCCUGGGCCUGUACUGACGCUCAUGCACGAAAGCGUGGGGAGCAAACA
rnacentral:rRNA from 1 species